rnacentral:rRNA from 1 species
AUGGCGACAACUGGAGAUGGCGGUGGAGUUGGAGAGCGAAAUCUUGAUGAGGCGAGUAAGCUGUUGGAGAGACUGAACCUGCAUGAUGAGGAGACGGACGAUCUGAUCUGGGAGGAGGAGCUAGAUGUGGAAGAAAUAAAUCCCAAGUGGCUAGCCCUAGGGCGACUCCUGACGGUGAAAACUUUCGGCCAGAGCGCUCUGAUCGCUGACAUGAAAGCGGCGUGGAAUCCCGCCCAGGAUGUGGUGUGGAGGAGGAUUAAUGCAAACCUAUUUUCAAUUCAGUUUAACUGUUUGGCGGAUUGG